rnacentral:lncRNA from 1 species
ACAGCUUAACCUCAGCCUCCCUGCGUGUUUCAGUGCUUCAGGCUCUGCUCCAAGAACCUGGAGGAGCCUCCUCAACUCUGUCUAUGAUGUUGGGUCAGCGUGUUCGCCAAUUUGGUGAGAAACUGGUCCGAAGGCGGCCACUGGAGCCGAGGAACGAGUCUGAGAUUCCCACACCUCAUCUCAACAGCUUCGACCUAGUGGUCUUUGGUGUGAACAGAACCCUGAGGGCUGGUGUGUACAUCCUAGCUGGUGCCGUGGCUGUGUAUGUAACUGGGCCUGCGAUCAUUAUCUCCUUCUUGGUGGCUGGCUUAUUUGCCCUGUUGUCUGGAUUCUACUUUGCUGAGUUUGGGGCCCGGGUACCCUGCUGUGGUUCUGUGUAUCUCUACAGCUAUGUAACAAUGGGACAACUGCAUGCCUUCAUCACUGGCUGGAACAUCAUACUGCAUUUUGUUCUUGCCACCGCCUACUUGACCAGGGCCUGGAGCUACACCUUUGACAGCCUGAUCGGGAACCACAUCUCGCAGGUGUUAGAGGGAACGUUCUCUGAGCAUAUGCCCUCGUUCCUGGCCCCAUACCCAGACUUUGUUGCGCUGGCCCUGGUGCUGCUGAUGGCUGGGCUACUGAUUCUGGGCGUUCAUGUGACAGCUCGUGUUACCAAAGUGUCCACAGGUAUCAAUGCUUUGGUUCUCAGCUUCAUCAUCAUCUCUGGCUUCAUUAAGGGAGACCUGCACAACUGGCAGCUCACAGAACAGGACUACAAACUGGCCGCAUCUGGAUCCUCUGACAGCUAUAGCCUGGGCCCUCUGGGUUCUGGAGGGUUUGUGCCCUUUGGCUUUGAAGGGAUUCUCCGAGGAGCAGC